AUUUGUAUCAGAAGAGCAGAUCCGCCGAAUUUAAGCAUAUAAUUAAGCGGAAGAAAAGAAAAUAACAAUGAUUUCUUUAGUAACGGCGAGUGAACAAGAAUCAAAGCUCAUCAGUGUAAUCCUUACAAACCUUGUUUGGAAAUGUCUGGUUUAAAAACAAUAUUCUUUGUAGUCUUUUUACAUAUGCUAUAUAGAAAUAAGCAGGAAUGCUUUUCCAUAGAGGGUGAAAGUCCCGUAAAUGUAGCGAAUUGUAUAGUAAUAGUGCUUCUAAAAGAUAUAGUUUAUAUAGAGUCGUACUCUUGGAAAUUGGAGUACAAAUAUUUUGUGUGAUACAUUUCACAUAAAGCUAAAUAUUAGUAAGAGACCGAUAGCAUACAAGUACCGUGAGGGAAAGAUGAAAUAGCACUCAGGAAUGAGAAUUAAAUAGUACCUGAAAUCGUUAAGAUGGAACGAAAUAAGAAAGGAAAGAAUGAAAGUGGGUAGGAUAAUAUUUAGAGAUCCCUUCUCUAGUUAGAGUUCCCUUCUCUAGUUAUCUUCACUCCUUUUAAAAAAAAAGCAUCAGCGAGUUGAUAUAAUUUGGACUUUUAAGCUUUGUAAAAUAUAGAAAAUUAGUGAUAAUAUAUAUAUAUUUUUUAAUAAAUCUUUUCUCUCAUGAUUAGAUUUACAUAGUUUGAACUUAUAAUUAAUUACUAUCAUUUGCUGAGGUAAACUAAAAUUGGGGUUAUAUUUUAUAUGUAAUAUAUAAAGUUCCCUUUUUUUACGUUGCUUUUAGAAAGUACUUUCUUAUCUCACUCGUCUUGAAACACGGACCAAGGAGUCUAACAAUUGUGCAAGUGUAUAUGUUUCAAUGCAAAACAUGAGUUAUACGCGUAAUUAAUGUAAUCAUUGCAGAAUUAGAACGUUGCCUUAAAAACAACGAUUUAUGCAUGCAAUACCGGUCUUACUUAUAUAAGUAGGACUGCGUAAGAGCAUACUUGUUAGGACCCGAGAGGCUUUGAACUAAGCGUGAUGAGAUUGAAGUCUGACGAAAGUCUGAUGGAGGAUCGAAUUGAUACUGACGUGCAAAUCGUUCAUUUCAAUCACGUUUAGGGGCGAAAGACUAAUCGAAAAGCCUAUUAGCUGGUUAUUUUCGAAAGAUCUCUCAGGAUCGCUGGAGUUUUUUUUAUUAGUUUUACCAUGUAGAGAUAAUGAUUAGAGGAAUCAGGAAAAUUGUUAUUCUUGACCUAUUCUCAAACUCCCAAUUGGUAAGGAGAGUAUUCAUAGCUUAUAGCAAUAUAUAUUGUAUGAUUCUCAUUUAAAAUGUUGAACUCCAAGUGGGCCAUUUUUGGUAAGCAGAACUGGCAAUGAGGGAUGCUCCUAACGCCUGGAUAAGGUGCCUAAGUUAUUCGCUCAUUAGAUCCCAUGAAAAGGUGUUAGUUCAUUAUGACAGUAGGACAGUGGUCAUGGAAGUCGAAAUCUGCUAAGGAGUGUGUAACAACUCACCUACCGAAUGAACUAGCCCUGAAAAUGGAUGGCGCUAAAGCGGAUCACCGAUACCAGGCCGUAAAAAAAAGAUCGAUAAUAAUAUAUGUAUUUUUUAUCGAAUGCAAAUUUUUUUACGAGUAGAAAAUCGUAGAGUUUGUUUGAAAGCGAUAUACGUGAGUUGUCGUGGAACAAUUUCUCUAGUGCAGAUCUUGGUGGAAGUAGCAGUUAUUCAAAUGAGAACUUUGAAGACUGAAGUGGAGAAGGGUUUCUUGUCAACUGUGAUUGUACAAGAGUUAGCCGCUCCUAAGGGUUAGCUGAAAAGCGAUAUGAAAAUAUGAAGUAAUACAGCAAACUUUAGUGUAUUGUGUUCGCAGUGAUUUCGUAAAAGCACGUAGAGCAUUGCAUAAAGUUUGCUAUAAACCCACUUCAACCCGAAAGGGAAACAGAUUAAUAUUUCUGUGCCUUUAUUUCAUGUGCACAUAAUGGCGACAUAAUAAUAUAUGAACCCCUUUACAUAGGUCUUACAUCCGAGGUGCGUUCUCUUUGCACUUUAAUAUAGAAUAUCUGACUUUGGAAUCAAUUUACUUGGAGAAAAAGUUAGUAUAUAUCGAUGUAGAAUGUAACUGAGUAGGUUUUUUUUGAUUAAUUCAUCCCUACUCUACUUCAUUCUCGUCACAUAAUAGUAGUUUUUUUUAUUAUUUAAACUAUUCGGAUUUGUAAGAACUAUCCUUGAAACAAGGGGGGAUUAAUUACAAGUGUAGGACGCAAAUUUUUUGUUGUUACUAAAAAUAGUCCAAUCUUGGUUAAAGCUGUGCACUGAAAAUUUUAUGAGCGUACCGACAACCGCAUCAGGUCUCCAAGGUUAGUAGCCUCUGGUUAAAUAGAAAAAAGUAAGUAAGGGAAGUCGGCAAAUUAGAUCCGUAACUUUGGGAAAAGGAUUGGCUCUGAGGGCUUUUUUUUUAGUAGUAUUUGUGUGCAGAAAGACUGAGUUAGAUGUCUCCGCCAAGUUGGCAAAUUAAAAGAAAUUAAUUUUUUUUUUUUUUUUUUUUUGCCGGACUUGUUGCGAACAUUUUUUAGCUUUUGUUAAGUACGUAAAAACGUCACUAUACUAUAAUAUUGUAUUUUUAUACAAUAUUGGCCAACUCAGAACUGAAACGGACAAGGGGAAUCCGACUGUUUAAUUAAAACAUAGCAUUGUGAUAAGCUACAAGUUAGUAUUGACACAAUGUGAUUUCUGCCCAGUGCUUUGAAUGUCAAAUUGAUGAAAUUCAAUGAAGCGCAGGUAAACGGCGGGAGUAACUAUGACUCUCUUAAGGUAGCCAAAUGCCUCGUCAUCUAAUUAGUGACGCGCAUGAAUGGAUUAACGAGAUUCCCACUGUCCCUACUUGCUAUCUAGCGAAACCACAGCCAAGGGAACGGGCUUGGCAAAAUCAGCGGGGAAAGAAGACCCUGUUGAGCUUUACUCUAGUCUG